UACGUAGGGGGCUAGCGUUAUCCGGAAUUACUGGGCGUAAAGGGUGCGUAGGUGGUUUCUUAAGUCAGAGGUGAAAGGCUACGGCUCAACCGUAGUAAGCCUUUGAAACUGGGGAACUUGAGUGCAGGAGAGGAGAGUGGAAUUCCUAGUGCAGCGGUGAAAUGCGUAGAUAUUAGGAGGAACACCAGUUGCGAAGGCGGCUCUCUGGACUGUAACUGACACUGAGGCACGAAAGCGUGGGGAGCAAACAGG
rnacentral:rRNA from 1 species